rnacentral:misc_RNA from 1 species
GAAAUGCGAUACUUGGUGUGAAUUGCAAAAUCCCGCAAGCCAUCGAGUCUUUGAACAUAAGUUGCACCCGAAGCCAUUAGGUUGAGGGCAUGUCUGCCUGGGCGUCUCACGUUGCGUCGCCCGCGCCCCCACCCCCCCCACGAAGGGGGGAAGAAGGGCUGUUGGGCCCCCGCGCGCGGUCGGCCCAAAAAGCUAGUCCCCCGCGACGGACGACGCAUCGCGACGAGUGGCGGUUGACAAACCGUUGCAUCGCCUCGCGCGCGUCCGGUCCGUCACGGGAGGCCUGUCGUGACCCUGUCGCGCCGCCGCCAAGGCGCUCUGAUCGCGACCCUAGGUCAGGUGGGAUUACCCGCUGAGGUUAA